ACUUGGAGAGGCGAGGGGAAAUGCGACAAAUUAGGGGGGGUACUAUUUUUAACCAAAUAAUGGGGAACAUACACAAUUAUGGCUUUAGCACAAUUAUGGCCCCAUUAUUUGGUUAAAAAUAGUACCCCCCUAAUUUGUCGCAUUUCCCCCUGCCUCUCCAAGUG